GGCGACGACGACCUGUACGGCUAUGGUACCUGGGUAGAGGUCCGAGUAAUGCGACGACGGCCUGGACGACGGCUCUGAGGUAGAGGAAGCUCAACGCAGGGAUGGCUUCGGUCGGCAGGGGCACGGAACUCUAUGAACUGUUUAAACUAUAAUUCCCACGUAGUACCUGUUUUGCACCAACAGAUUCGGAUCUACUCAGCUGUUACUUCGAGCCCCGCACUAUACCGCGAGCCACAUCCACCGGUACCACCUGGACUUCGAUCGACUCUAUUCGCUGCCCUAGUUACAACACGAGGAGGGCAAGAGUAAUUGGUUUAUCACGUCUCACACCGACGUACUGACCACAUAUAUAGGUGAACCUGGUGGUUUAAGUUUGAUUAUCGUUCUUGAUUUAUAUCACAACUCAAUAUCAAGCAUUUGUCUAGGUAUAAUCAAGUCUCUAGGCGUGUUGUUUAAACAUGUAAAUCUUACUGGUCGUUUUAGGUCAUCAUGUUAAUUGAUAUAGCUUUCUCAAAUAAACUAGUUAUACACGUGUACUUUGUUGUUUAAUUGGGCACACUUGAUAGGUACCUUAAUACGUUACGUGUCUGUUUAUAAGCCUGUUGUACUACAAAGUAAGGCUCCGAUAUCAGUGUAGUCACUUUGGUUUGGUAAUAUAUACUAAGGGGUAUCUGUCUAACGUGGUUUCUGAGACCAAUGAACGGAUGUCGAUUAAUAAAAAGAAUUAAGGUCCCUCCAUAGUCUAAUACCUCGAGCCCCUAGACAGAACGGACAACAGACUUGACUUUGUUGUCGGAGUGAGAGAAGAACCAGAACUUAUUGUCACUCGACGAAGAGUUUACAGGGUAGCGUAUUGCCGACAUCGUGGGACUCGAGGAGUAAUAGACGAGGUACUAGUUCUAGGUAUCUGUGGCUCUCGGCGUGUGAACCGAUGUUCCAAACGGACCUACUGAGACUUAGCUUUGGUUAGCAUCUAACCCUCGACAUACGUAUAAGGUAAACACGUCUAGGUCGGUUUCGUGAAUUAAGUAUCAGGCGUUUUAUCCGUGAGAUACAUUGUGUUCCUUUUAGAUCGAAUCUUUAGAUGUGCCUUAGACGUGACGCGAACCGAUUUAGUUGAAUGGACAGGUGGGAUAGAAAUGUAUUAGACUGUACUAACAAUUAAUAGUUAGAAGGUACUUUUUUUAGGUUGAAUGUUAAAGUCAAAUCGACUGUACGUGAUCUCCGUAAUUUGGUUGUUUCAACUGUGGAGCCCAGACUCAAUACGACUUGAAAAACUAGAAAAAUAAUUGGUGUAGCCACCAGAGUUUUUUUAAGUACUCAUCGUUGUGUCUGAUUAUUUAACGAUAAAUAGAAUAGAUACGAUAUUCUUUGGCCUCUGGCUUAAGAAGCUGUACCUCCCUAAGGAACUCUCGUGUAGUUGUGGACUUCGACGACGACAGCGUCGAGAUGUGAAAAAGAAGAAAGGCCUGUGGGCUGUCGGGUUCGUAUGUUCUCGUCGUUGUGCUCGUCCGGAACGACACGUUGUAGUCGUCUCGCGAGAGUCACGUCGCCUUGAUGAGCCCGCAGAGGCUGCUGUUGUAUGAACUAUGACUUCAACUUCUCACAUCGUGCCAACUACUCGACUUCGCCGUACUUUUGUCAUUGAAGAUAAUUUUUAUUCCUAUAAAGGUACAAAUUGGAAUAAUAGCUACAAAUAAUUUUAACCUAUACUUUUUCCACGUGUUACUGUCUACUGCAUCCAACACGGGGAAAAAUAGCGGGCCACGUUACGUACCCGUAAGAAUGAUCAUUAUUAAUGUACAUCCGGAUAAAAACUUACGGAUAAAAAGUUAACAAAACCCUUAAUCUGAUUCCUCAUUACUAACAAUAACCGAACAACGUCUAGUUUCUACGGUUCUUCUGUUGAUUACACGGUCCUCCACUUCCAUGAAUCGGUGGAUCGUAACCUACACUCCUCCUGAAACUCACAGUACCUUGUAUGUACCGACAAUCAUCAUAAAA
rnacentral:rRNA from 1 species